rnacentral:rRNA from 1 species
AGGAUCAUUAUACAUACAUGGGAUACCAAUGUGUUCCCUGACCCAUACCACCUCUGUGUACUGUUCCAUGUUGCUUUCCCAGGUGCUCAAUCCUUGUAGUAGCUCAUCGCAAAUGACAUGUUGCUGCUGCCCGCGAGUGGCUACUGGGAAAGGUCUUAUUUAACGCCUUCAAUUGAAUUUGCUGUCUGAGUUGGCCUGGUGCCAUGAACUUUGAACAAGUUAAAAAAAACUUUCAACAACGGAUCUCUUGGCUCUCGCAUCGAUGAAGAACGCAGCGAAAUGCGAUAAGUAAUGUGAAUUGCAGAAUUCAGUGAAUCAUCGAAUCUUUGAACGCACAUUGCGCCCCUUGGUAUUCCUUGGGGCAUGCCUGUUCGAGCGUCACUACAAAACCCACUCAUAAAUAAUAUGGUACUGAUGGAAGUGAACGGUAGCCACUCUUGCGCUCAGGUCACUCUGUUGAAAUGCAUAGGCAGGCUAAUCAACCACUGCAACUGACUUAGUAACUGUUUUAAAGACAUAAACCAGUCACUUGUUAGGUUCCAGCCUGGCCAUCAUGGACCUCCCUCCAAGUCGAACUCNGGGUGACC